CUCCCUCUCUCUCUCUCCCUCCCUCCCUCCCUCUCUCUCCUCUCUCUCUCUAAAACUUCCCAAAUUUGCAUAGCUCUUCUUCUUCUCCACUGUUUCACCACCACCUUCAAAUUCAAAGUCCCAUAAGUUCUCCUUCUUCUGAGUGAUGGGUGUGUGCAGCCGCUGUUCCCACACUUCCCACAUCACAGAGAAAUCAUCAUCACCAGCUUCUUCCGCCACAAAGCGUGAUUCUUUCCAACCCAGAGCUUCGGAUCACUCUACUUCUCAAACACCAAGCUGUGAUGUUCUCGACAGCAACUUAACAAACGCCUAGUAUACAAAACUAAUUCGUCGGAGUGUUGACUGUGAACAUGGCCGGCGGGAGGGUCAACGGCGGCCGAAAUUCGUCCGUCCUCAGUGCUUUGCUUCAGAACCAGAGGAGUUCUGAGCCUCUUGAUUCUCUGUUCCUUUCUGGGUCAUCAAAUUCUUCCUCUGCUUCUUUUCUGGGUUCAAGAUCGAUGGUGAGUUUCGAAGAUGUACGCGGAGGAAGUGGAUUGAAUAGGUCAUUGUUCCACCAGUAUGAGCACGAAGAUAACGGGGAAGAUGACUUGGGUGAGUAUCUCCAUCAACCUGGGAAGAAGAGGCGGCUAACCGCUGAUCAAGUCCAGUUUCUCGAAAAAAAAGCUUUGAUGUGGAAAACAAGCUGGAACCAGAGAGGAAAGUCCUGCUUGCAAAGGACCUUGGCUUGCAGCCUCGGCAGGUUGCGAUAUGGUUCCAGAACCGCCGGGCGAGGUGGAAGACAAAACACCUUGAGAAGGAUUAUGAGGUGCUGCAAGCCAACUACAAUAAUCUCAAGGCUAACUGUGAAAGCCUUUCGAAAGAGAAUGAUAAACUGAAGGCCGAGGUUCUUAUCCUCUCAGACAAGCUGCAACUCAAAGAGAAGGAGAGGGAAAAUUCAGAACUAUCUGAUACCAACAAAUUAUCUCAAGAACUGCCGCAGAAGCCAAUUGCUGACUCGGCCUCCGAAGGCGAAGUAUCAAAAGUCUCAGCUGUGGCCUCUAAGCAGGAAGAUCAUAGUUCAGGCAGGAGUGACAUAUUUGAUUCAGACAGCCCACAUUACCCGGAUGGAGUUCACUCUUCACUCUUAGAGCCUGGUGAUUCUUCAUAUGUUUUCGAACCUGAGCAGUCUGACCUUUCCCAAGAUGAAGAAGAUAACUUCAGCAAAAGCCUGCUGCCUCCAUACAUCUUCCCAAAGCUUGAAGAUGUUGAUUACUCCGAUACGCCUGCAAAUUCCUGUAAUUUCGGAUUCCCGAUGGAAGAUCAUGCCUUUUGGUCCUGGUCUUACUGAGUUUCUUCUGCAAAAUUCGAAUUCCCGGGUUAUUAUCUUCUUGUUUAAAGUAUGGCAUAGAAGUGAAAAUAAGUAGCAAAAUGUCGCACCCCGAUCCAGAUGUGGUGGUGGGAGCUAGGUUUCAAAUGCAAAAGAUGGUGGAUUUUGCCCCAUUUGUAAUCUUUUUUUAUUUCAUGGGGAUCUUAAUUAGUGUUUAAUGGACCAUUUUUGUAUGCAAUUCAUGUAAUUAAAUAAAAUUAUCUUGUUAAUGCAACUUGACGGAAAAGCCUCUCAUUUCA